UUUUUUUUUUAUUUUUUUUGUGUCUGUUGCCUUUUUGCUUUCUCUAAGUGAACUUGUGAGCAUACACAGACACACAAAUGUGCACGAGUGUUACUAAGCUUCGUGUGCGAGCGUCCAGCGCGCUUGCGUGUCACCGCAUUCACCAGCCAUAGUCCGUCGUUUGGCGUUUAAAACAAUUAAAUUUGUUAUUGAAAUUAAAGGCGAAUAGAAAAAAAAAA